AAAAGUGCUGCUAAGAAGAUGAUUAUUACUGUAUGAAGAUUUUUCAAACCAUGCUGUAAUUUGAUUAGAAGUAAAAAAUCUUCGUGCACCUCUUACCAAAAACACUCUUGGAGUAGCCAUAGAUAAAAUAACAUUUUGCCUUUCUUUAUUUAAAAAAGUAUGUUGUAACAGUUCAUAGAGAUGUCCGCCAAGAGGAUAGAUUACAUCACUUGGCUUUUUUAGACCCUCUCUACUAAUUUCAUCAACAAAGGAGUCUAAUUCUUGAUAUUUUCCCAAUUCAUCCAUUAAGAAAGUAAUAUUUCCAUGCGAAGAUAAGAACAUGGUUCAGCACUCCCUAUUUAACGUUUUUAAAAUAGAAUGGGUAACAUAGCCACAUACAAGAUAAAUGAGCGGCUCCAGACCAUUAACCCAAAAAAACUGUCUAUACCUCCAAAAACGCCUUUCUAUUGGGUCCGAAUUACUUUUACGAAGAAAAAUAAACUUACUUAUAUUUUUAUCCAGUAAAUAUAUAGCUAAAUGGCCUAGUCCGAUGUAUGUUUGAUAGGCGGCAUGAAAUGUCUCGGAAGAUAAACAACCUUUCUCUCAGAAUGUCUCCCAUUUUUUAAUUCAUUCUGGAAACUUAACCAAUAAAUCAAUUUGUUCCCACUCAUUUACAGAAAUUGGUUUUAAUAACUCGUCUCUCUUUCGGACGUACAUAGUAUUAGAGUUCACAUUUAUGCAAUUUCAAAAGAGCUUAAGAAUAUCCAUAACUUGUGCUGUUUAUUUGAAGCUUCUGAAUUGAUCAUCUUUCGACACAUAAUGGAUAAGUGCAUUCAGAGUGGACCCGUGAAAAAAAACCUUACAGAAAGAUCGACAUUACACUUUUCAAUUGGUUGAGGAGCAAUUACUUUAUGAUUAAGUUUGUGUGCUAAUUUCAAUCCCUGCCCAGCUCCAUGUCAUAGAUUUGACUCACAUUCCCAAAUUCGGCUUCAAGAAUAACAUCCUCAUUUUUAAAAGAUGGACAUGAUAAUUUUUGUCUGCUAGUAAAGUUGCUAUAAAUUUUUUGAAGAUAUGUACCAAAUCGAAUAACAUUAAUAUUUUUAUUUCGGAAGUGGAAAAAGGAUUUAGUAUAUAUCUAGGAAAAUUUUUAUUUCCUAGUUCAUCCAUAAAGAAUUUUCUGUUUGAGGCAUACGCAUCUGUAAUAGUUGCAACGGGCUCUAGGCCAACUUUGGUAACUACUUCAAGAACUAUCAUGUGAUAUCAUUUUAUAAUGGAAGAUUUAAUAUUUGUGAUUGGUACCAUGUCACUGUAGUUCCCAAGUACACUCUUCGCCAUAAAACAAAGUAUGGUUUUAGAAUAGUUUCUAUUCCUAUCACAUCCGAAAUAAUUGCCACCACUAAAUUCAACUCUCUAUAAGGAAUAGACUUCGUCAAUUAUUAUAGAAAAAUACUUAAUAAAAGCUGAUAUAGGAAAAUGCUUGCUACAGAUUCUUGAAUAUUGAUUUGGUUCCUAGAUUUUUCUUCUGAUGGAAUUGACCCAUAUUUUAAUAAGUUCUGGAUCUUUUGGAAACUUAUGAAGAGAGGGUUUCUACAAUUUCUUCCUAAUUAUGAUUUUGAUGAGUUUUUUUGUUAGGAUAACCAGUCCCACAAUCUGGACAAGAGCUAAACAUUUUGUCUAAAAUAAUAAAUGCAAAAUAUCAAGUUAUUAGAUGAAAUUGUUUAUAAAUUCAUAUAGUAAUUCUUGUUAAAAUGUAAUACAUAUAUGUGAUAGAUAUAUCAUACAUUUUAUAUAUAAUGAAGGUCCCUAGAAUGAGAAAUUUUUUCGGUAUUUGAAUUUAUUUAUGUCUUCUUAUCACUUAAAACGUUCACUAUAUUUUAAGAGUAGAAUGAAACUGAAAUAAUGCUUACAAUUAAUUAUCCAUGAUCACUAUAUGUAAUCAUUUUCCACUUUUUCACAAUUACUUGUUCUUUAAUACCAGAGUGACGAAAUAACACGAUCUUUUCUUAGAUUCAAUUAUGUAGUCUCUAUCUAGAUUCUUUUAUUUGAUGAAGAAGGCUUAUAGUAAUUGAUAGGCAUCCUAACAAAUGAUAGACAAUACAAAUUACUAAUUCUUAAUUACAAUACAUAAAAAUUGACUAUAUUUGGUCUUGGAUUGAAUGAUAGAAUUGAUAAUGACAAGGCUAAAGAGUUAACACAGCAUAAUUCUUCAAUUUCAUUUCUCUAGUAGGUUUAAAUGAAAUGAGACAGUCCUUUUCGUAGAUUGUUUUGACUGACCCGGAGGAGGGAAAACUCGGACUAACCCAUGAGACGCAUGGCUUUCACUAUAAUGGUGGAAAUAUGGAUUCCUAAUGUCGAGAAGCACGGAGUAGAUGAGAAUGAUAUGGAUGACUCAAUAGAAGUAGUCAGUAGACAUCGACAACUGACACGCUUUCUAGACCCACCGCCGUAGAGGAAUUGAAUGAAGUAAAAUUAUGUUUUAUAUGUCCUAUCCUCAGUGUUCCGAGAUUUGAGGGUUUUUAGAAUAAAUUAUUCUUAACUA
rnacentral:lncRNA from 1 species